GAGCUAUCUUCUCCUUUGAGGGUAGUGUAAUAGGCAUAGAGAAAGUGAUUUAGUCGUCUAUUUUCUCUAUGUUUUUAUUAUACAA
rnacentral:antisense_RNA from 1 species